rnacentral:rRNA from 1 species
UAUUAUGAGAGUUUGAUCCUGGCUCAGGACGAACGCUGGCGGCGUGCCUAAUACAUGCAAGUCGAACGCUUCUUUCCUCCCGAG